rnacentral:rRNA from 1 species
GUGCAAAGGUAGCGUGAUAAUUUGCCUUUUAAUUGGAGGCUGGUAUGAAUGGACACACGAGGCUGCUACUGUCUCUUAGGUAGGGGUAAAAAUUAGGCUGUAGGUGAAGACACCUAGAUGGAAUUAUAGGACAAGAAGACCCCGUUGAGCUUUAGUCUGAUGUUGUAGUGUUCGUGGCGGAGUGGGCUUUGGUUGGGGCAACAGAGGUCCAACUAGAGCGGCCUUUUUUUUGAGGCUUAUCGGCCAGGUAGUCAGUGAGUCGUAGUUAAUAAGAAGAAGAAAAGUUACCACGGGGAUAACAGGCUAAUCUAUUCGAAGAGUUCACAUUGAUG